rnacentral:rRNA from 1 species
CAACCUUGCGGCCGUACUCCCCAGGCGGUCAACUUCACGCGUUAGCUUCGUUACUGAGUCAGUGAAGACCCAACAACCAGUUGACAUCGUUUAGGGCGUGGACUACCAGGGUAUCUAAUCCUGUUUGCUCCCCACGCUUUCGUGCGUGAGCGUCAGUACAGGUCCAGGGGAUUGCCUUCGCCAUCGGUGUUCCUCCGCAUAUCUACGCAUUUCACUGCUACACGCGGAAUUCCAUCCCCCUCUACCGUACUCUAGCUAUGCAGUCACAAAUGCAGGUCCCAGGUUGAGCCCGGGGAUUUCACAUCUGUCUUACAUAACCGCCUGCGCACGCUUUACGCCCAGUAAUUCCGAUUAACGCUCGCACCCUACGUAUUACCGCGGCUGCUGGCACGUAGUUAGCCGGUGCUUAUUCUUACGGUACCGUCAUUAGCCCCUUGUAUUAGAAAGGACCGUUUCGUUCCGUACAAAAGCAGUUUACAACCCGAAGGCCUUCAUCCUGCACGCGGCAUUGCUGGAUCAGGCUUGCGCCCAUUGUCCAAAAUUCCCCA